AUAGACGCUGAUGAAGCACCAGCAAGGUAACUGUACCCAGUAGAUCAAGUACCAUCUUACACACUGUGCUCACUCACUCACAGAGCUGGCUGUAUUCUGGCUGGUCUGGGGUUCACUCCACAGAAGAAUGAGAUUUUAUCUAGCUAAGACACUAUUUGCAAGGGGAAGGCGUGGGUGUUUUUUCAGAAUCAGGCUUGUUUUCAGAGCUAUCUUUUAGCUGCCAUAACUUGAAUUCCGUGGAUACAAUUUCAAUGAUUUUCUGAUUUUCUGAAAGCUUAGAAAGAGACCUUUCAAAUGGUGUCAUCAAAGUUUAUAUUUGAGAGAUAAUAAAGUAUUUGCCAAUUUGGCCAUAACAUGAAUAAAAUAAAUAGCCCAUGGGGUCCAAGGCGGAAAAUUACAAAUUAGGGCCCCAACAAAAUUUUGGAUCGAAACACAUCAUUUGAAAGGUCUCUUUAAUUCUAAGCUUUCAGAAAUCAUAACAUUUUUGACAUUGGAUCAACGGUAUUAAAGUUAAUGGCUGUUGAAAAAUCAGGUUUGUUUUUAGAGAUAUCUUUUAGAGGCCAUAACUUGUGUUAGGAACGUCCUAUUUAAAAAACUCAAAGACACAUUCUGUAGCUCUGAGAAAGCACUAUUGUAUACAAUUAAAGUGUCUUAAAACCGCUAAUUGCUCGCAGUGCCAAAGCUCACUAAUUUGUGUGUCCUAUGCUGUAGAUGUGGGAACACGGAACCAUCGUCGGUUGUGUGCAGUGUAUUAUAGUCGUACCCCCGGGUUUGAAGUGUCCAUGGACUACUGGAUCGUGUCAUGCAGCUGCUGGAGGUGUCCUUCACCAAAGAUGGCAGUGGAUACUUCCUCAAGGCAGCUAAAGACUCUACCUAGUUCCCGGGCCGUUGUGCAGAGGUGUGUGUACGUGGGAAGGUGAUUGGGAAACUGGGCAUGCUCCAUCCUGGUGUGUCUGUUGUGCAGCUCUAGUGUGUGUGAGACUGGGAGGUGUGUCUGUUGCAGCUGUUCUCACAGCCUCCUCCAACCAGUACCUGCCCUCCGUAGUCUCCAGGGAGAACCUAUCUCCUCAGUUCCCGAGCCAGCCCCACCCCUCACUGUCUGACUCAGAAGAGGAGAUAGACUUUGUAUUCUGGGAGAAGGCGUCCACCCUAUACCCUCGGACAAGACCCCAACCAAGGACCUGAACUUGUUACGAGACUGUAAUUUGUCUGUUUUUGUAGUCAUUCCGGCUAAAAAAAUUAAAUAUGUACGUAUAACGUACCACCAAGGGCAUAUAAAAGAA